GGAGAGGUCGCAUAGUGGCCGAGUGCAGCAGUUUACUAAACUGCCGUGGGGUCAAACUCACCAAGGGUUCGAAUCCCUUCCUCUCCGCCA
rnacentral:tRNA from 1 species